rnacentral:rRNA from 1 species
GAUGAACGCUGGCGGCGUGCCUAAUACAUGCAAGUCGAGCGAAUGGAUUAAGAGCUUGCUCUAAUGAAGUUAGCGGCGGACGGGUGAGUAACACGUGGGUAACCUGCCCAUAAGACUGGGAUAACUCCGGGAAACCGGGGCUAAUACCGGAUAACAUUUUGAACCGCAUGGUUCGAAAUUGAAAGGCGGCUUCGGCUGUCACUUAUGGAUGGACCCGCGUCGCAUUAGCUAGUUGGUGAGGUAACGGCUCACCAAGGCAACGAUGCGUAGCCGACCCGAGAGGGUGAUCGGCCACACUGGGACUGAGACACGGCCCAGACUCCUACGGGAGGCAGCAGUAGGGAAUCUUCCGCAAUGGACGAAAGUCUGAAAGAGCAACGCUGCGUGAGUGAUGAAGGCUUUCGGGUCGUAAAACUCUGUUGUUAGGGAAGAACAAGUGCUAGUUGAAUAAGCUGGCACCUUGACGGUACCUAACCAGAAAGCCACGGCUAACUACGUGCCAGCCGCCGCCGUAA